CCAAAGCACACCAUCUGCAGCAGGAACCAGGCUUGCCUGAAGACUACAAAGGCAACAUCAUGGUCCUUGGACAGAAAAGGGAAGGAAGAUGAACAGAGGGCCGGGGUAGCCUGAGGAGCAGGGGCUGUAAGGCUUUUCACAACAGACAGGCAGGGCAUGGCGAAUUUAAGAGUCAGCUCUGUGUGAAUGAGGUGCUCGAGAUUACUGCUCUGCUGCUUCCCUUACUGGCCACGCUGGCUCUUCCUGGCAUCUUUCUCAAGAUCGCUCCUGAGACGCCACACAUUCAUUCUUAGGAUCAUUUCUAAGUCUGAAUGUUACAAAAGUAAUCUAAGUGUACUUUUAAAUUACUAUCUGCGGCUGCCGUUUUUGUCUGCCUGUCCUGUGGUAAUGUGAUGCAUUUCCUAAUCCAUUCGCUGCUCCUGAUCUGCAGAGCAGCACACCAGCGGGCAGCUCGGGCAGGGGCCGGCGCCGUGCCUCUGCCCUGCCCGGCGGGGGAAGCCCGCGGUGCCGGCGAGGCCGCGCCGGGCCCCGCUCCGCUCUUCCCCGCGCCGCGCGGCCACACAAGAUGGCGGCGGGGCGGAGGCUGGCGGCCGGGCCCCGCGGCGGGGGUGCUGCUGGGCGCGGCCCGCUGCGCGGCCUCCCGGGCACAGCGCGGGGAGACAGGCCUCCAGCCCCGUUUUUUCCCCUGCCCUAUCACACGAAGAGCUGCAGGAGCGGCAGGAGAGGCAGCAUGUGUCCUGUUUGCAGCGCUGAAAUGACACCAGGUGACUUGGGCACGGACAGAGGAGAGCGGAUGGUGCCCCGGUGCGCUGAAGGGCUGAACAAGGAUCACUGCUACUGUAAAGCCAUAUGCAGUGCUUCACAGUUGUGCGCAUGAUCUGGUAGGAUGGUGAGACUACCAUGUUUCCUUGGAUAAGUAUCAGAACUUCAACUUGAACAAAUUUGGAUUAAGUUUUACUCAUUUUAGAAGAGCACUCCUAUGCAACAUAUGAAGAUAGUUUGAAGAAGCACACUGCUUAAAUUGACAAUGAUUUAUUGUGUUUAGGAACAUUCAAUAAAUACCAAUCAUUUAGCUUCAGUUUGGAAAUCCUUCCCCAUUAAAAAUCCAUUCUUUGUGUUGUUUUUUUCUGGCAUAAACUCCAUUGCCAGCAAUGGAUGUAUCAGAAAAAGAAGUUAAUAAAUACAAACAGACAGCAGUUUUCUAAACAUACCUCCUGUUUUAAAGGCAUGAUACAGAUUUACUAAACAAAUCUCAAGUUCUUCACAGAAGAAAAUUUUGCUACAAGCUGUCUCUGAACAUUGUUUUCUUCACUAAUGCUGGUAGUUUAUUUCAUGGAGUAUGGUAUUUUUGAACAGUAAUGAUGAAUCAUUUAAAAACAAGCUUCCCCCCCCACCCCGCUUCUCCUUUGCCCAAUGUAUGCUGAGACCUGUAGCUAGUACUGAACUGUAUAAAUUUAAGAGUGGUGUGUCUCUUGUUGAGCACUUAAUGGCAAACAUGAAGAAACAGCAAUAUGGUACUUUUUUUUACUAGGGAUCUGGGGGAUUUAUUUUUUCACCUUGAUUUUAAACCACUGUUCAAGUGUUAAAGGUAUCAUAUUUAAGUGUAACAGUUGUUUUGCGUAACUUUCUGUGAAGUGUAAAAACAUAAUGAAAGAUUCCUGUUUCUGAUGAAAAUAAUUUUCAAGUACUUAAAUUUGAAUAUCCCUCUGAACUCCAUUCAUAUUAUAUUAAAAAUGUGUAUAAAAGCAUGAAGACUGCAGAAAACCAAUUAACAUAACAGAGUUAAUCUUGAAUUAAAUUUUUCCACAACUGUAUUUUACAUAUAACCAAACUCCUGCUUUAGCAAAAGCAAAAAGAAUAAAAAUAAAUUCUCUCCCAACUAUUUAUACUCAGGAAUUACCUUGCUGUGGGACUCGAUAGUUCAGUCUACAGUCCCUCUAACCCAAAGUGUACUCUUAGCUGUAUCCCUUUGUGAUUUAGGGUCUUGGAAGUUUUCAGCAAACCUCUCUCUUGCUUUAUCCCAGUUCUUUUUAUUCUUGCUCUGGACAAGCUGAACGUCUUCAAUUGAGGCCGGUCUCCUAGUACCUAAACCUGCAUGCUUCUGAUGUAACUCCAGUUGGAUCUGUCAAAUACAUGAAAUACUGUUGUAAUUGCAAGUUAGGUAUUCUAAAUGCUACAAAUUCUGGUUUUCUAAUACGCCAUGCCCUCUCCCCAAGCACUUCUCUUUCAUGUUCUAAAACACCUAGAUCAUACACGAACAGUACCAGGAAAAUGAUGUGUCAGAUCAGCAUUUCUGGAACUAUGAUCAAGAGUCCUAAAUAAUGUCCCCUGCCACAAAAAUUACUGUGAAAUACACCUCACUGAGUGAGUGGCAUAUGAUCCCUAUACUGGCUAGUUUGACAACACAGAGUAUGGUAUGGCUCUAAGCAGCACUACUGCCAAAAGACAACACAUUUCUGGUGACAAAAAUGGGCUAACAUGGCUGCCACAGAGGCCCACAACUUGCUGGCUACAGUAACCUCUGCCAUCUCUUCCUCUCUCAAUGCCCAUCAUCUAGCUCAAUUUUUGUGCUACAUCAGCCUCUAAGAAAGAAUUCCACCCUAAACUGAUUUUCAAAUCACAUCACUUACAUUAUUCCAAUUUUCCUCCAGACUUUGUAUUCAAAUAUGAGAUUAUUAAUUAAAAGGCUAGAUGUCUGUCCUCCUUUGCUUAGUUUCCUAAUGAGCACAGUGUAGUGAAGGGACAACAGUACUGAAAAAUUUCAAAAUAACCCAUUAGUCAAAGAAAAAAUAAUUUGAGAUUAGUUCUACUGAGAUUAUUCCUUCUUAACCAGGGUUUUUGUAACUUUCAAAUGAAUAGUGGCAUACACUUAGAUACUUUUCACUACAAAUACAUUCCUAUUAUUUUUGUCUCAAGUGAAAACCAGAAAGACCUACCGGAUCCUUUAUGCCACCACCAUCCUUUCCCAGACCUUCCCCCUUCUUCCAUCCCAUCUUCUCCAGCAUUUUAUGUCCUUUGUUGCUGUUGCUGAUUUCACUUUGAAGAAAGUUUAAGAUAAGCAAGAGUUAAUAUAAAGAGUAUGCUUUCAAAUACUGAACAACAGAAAUGUGCAUACAUACAGAAAUCAGGAAUCAGUCCAUCAAGAGUCAUCCAGAAGAACAAGUUCACUAUCAGCUUUCUUAAAACUUCUGAACUACUUGCUUGCUUUGGGAGUUAAAGAUACAUAGUAAAAGAUACAUCAUGGGUAGGAGGGUAUGGAUUACAAUAUGGAAAAAGCGGUAUCACUGCCAAAUCAUCUUACUGCACCUAUUUCAUCAGCUCACACUUCCUUUUAUUAAUUUACACACACCUACAAGUUUAUGCUGCUUAAAAAAACCCAACUACAGCUGCAGAGGCAAAGUAAGAACAUCAAGUGUGAUUUGAGAGGUAUGUAAAUGCUGUAAAUUCAGUCCUUGAAUGGCUGAAUAUUGACAGUGAGAGAAGCUGCAGGUGAAAAUCUGCAGGUGAAAAAUCUGCAUGUGUACUAUUACUGGGACUGGAUAGGAAAAAUGAAAAUUGAACAACUUGAAAAACAGACACUAUUGAAGAUGUCACUAGUGCAGCUGGGGAGUUCUUUACAUUUUUGAGUUGGUAAGGAAGUGAUGUAAACGUCCUUACUGCCAUCCUUUACUCCUUACCUUCCAUAUAUUUUUAUAUGGAAGGUGAUGAGUUAAUAAAUAAAAGCACGUGAAAUGGGAAGUGUGAAAAACUUAAAAUUUUCUAGCUUUCCUAACACAAUAUAUACAGGUAAUUUGUAAUUUAACAAACUGCACACUAGUAACAAACUGACUCUUAUUUCAUUAUAAUUUUUUGAAGAUUCACAAGAGAAGGGCAUGGGGGAUCCUUUCCCCCACCCCCAACUUACAUAUGAACAGAAGCUGAACUGUCGUCUCUCUGAAAGGUUCCUUCACUUCCAACAGUUUCUCUGCGUUUUCCUGCUCUGUCUUUGUACUUCGGAUUUUUCACUGCCUUGUUGUCUUCAUAUUCUGUGUUCUUUCCAAGCAGAUUCAAUUGCAUCAAGACAAAGAGAGUGGGGUUUAAAUUCUUUAUUUUUGUUAACUUCCCUUUUUCCCUCCAAAAGUAUGGGAGCUUCAGCCUUUUUUAUUAAUUGUAAAUCUUGCAAUAAAACCUGCAGUCCUCACUUAGUAUUUUCUUAGCUUACAGGCAUACCUUAUAAACCAUAUUACUGCCAUCAUCAUGUAACAUUGCCAAAUUCAGUAAUUUCUCAUAAGCUGUAAAUAAAAUAACAGAUUGUCUUAAAUCUUCUCUUGGUAUGAAGAGUCAAUCUCUCCAUAUUAAGCAGAAAAUCAUGUGCACAUGCCACUGGCUUUUUAUAUAACAAUUUAGCCUGUUCCUCAGCACCUACUUAUUUUCAGGAUAAAUGACAGAACAAGUAGGUUUACAGAUUCUGUAUCAGUAUUAUUUUGGUACCUGAAGAACGUGAAAGAAAUGAUGGCAUUCUGUUUUCUACACGUAUACUUAGUACGAAUGCUGGAAGCAACUGCAUGUUAAAAUUAUCUCCACAACAGAAGUAAUUUGAAUACAUAUAUAUUAUAUUGCCUGUAUGUUCAUGUUGGUGUUCUUCUAUGGACUUAAAAACCUGAAAAAAUUCCCAUUCCCUUCCAUAAUUUUUUCAGUUGCUCAUUAUGUUUCCCUUACAAAUGAAAGAGAGAACUUCAACUCAGUGAAAACUUAAUCUACAGAAAUAAAAACUGAAGUGUCUUGCAAAAUCUUAACUUCCAAAGAUUAGGAAUCUUGUACACUUUGAAAGGAUCUUUUUUUCUAAUUUUCAUUGGAACUUUCAUGCUCUCUUAUCAUCAUCUUUCUUUGUAGAGGUUUGUAAAGCAUAAUUAUUUAGGGUACAAAAGACAAAUGAGGCUGUUUUGGGGCAUUUGAAAACCUCCCUUAUGCAACAAAGUCUAUAGCUUAAAAUAGGAAUCAGAAAGUACUUAAAAAAAAAAGUUAAGAACCACAAGAUCACAAAAACUUAAUCAACUUCUGCUGUAAACUCACCUGUAAACCAUAUUUUACCCGUAUUUGUUUUAAUGCUUUUCUUCUGACUAGCUCUCUCUCUUCUUUGCUAAGUGCUGGACAAACUAAAAGGAAGAACACAGGAUUUAAUUUGUAAUUACUAAUCUAACGUUUUGAAUCAUAAGACUAAUGAGAGAAUUUUUGUUCUGACAUUAUUAUACACAGACGCAUAUGCCAAGAAAAAAAUACAUUAUUAUGUACAACUAUUAUCAGCUGACAAGAAAAUGAUACGAAAACUGAACUAAAUAUUAUUUUUCUAAAGUAAACAGCCAUAAUAAAAAUGUAUACUGUGAUAAUAUUACUAACCGAAAGACUCUUUUUUCUUGUCCAGGCGAAGAUGUGCUCUAACUUGUCCUGGUUCACAUCCAUCACAAGUAUCACUGCCAGGGUGAAUAUGAAAAGAAAGCACAGUUUCGCCAAUCUUCACCUCAUCUCCAUGCUCCAGGAUGUAGGGAUCACACUUUGUUUUAGGCUACACCAAAAGAAAGUUUUGCAGCAAACAUGAACAAGAGUUACCUUACUGACUCCAACUUCAGGAAUCUGAAGCGUGUGUCCAACAUCUUUUUCUCUGGAAAGGCUCUUUAGUGCAUCUUGGUGUCCAUGUUCCAUGGUGAAGUUGAACUCUUAGUGGCAUCAGGAAUGCUAUUCAUCAACAUGGAUAAGAAAAAAUAAUAAACAGAACCUACAGAUGCAUAUGCUUUUUUGCCUGAUUAUUAUAUUAAGAUACUAUAUUCUGACAGCUGUAUGAAUUCUGUACUUGGAUGUACAUUUGUAGAAACAAUCUCCAAUGACCUUCAGCUAGGAGCAGACAUAAAUGAGAAGACACUACCUUAAAAGAAGCUGCCAAUCCAAAAGAAGAAAUCUUCAGAUUAGCCAUGGUUUCUGUCAACUGACGUACCUAAAGAUGGGAUGAAUAUCAGCAAAAAGUAAACUACAUGUGAUAAAAAAGUAAAAAAAUCACUGCUUCAAGAGUUCUAUGGGAAACACUGCUAAAACCACCUUGCCUCUCCUAUAGAAAUAGCUAUGAUGAAUCUGUAAUGGAAAAGAACAUUGUAAAAGUUAAUUUUGAGUACUACACUGAAAUAAAAUUUAGUAGGUGGUAGCUUGAAAAUUAAAAAAAACCCCACAAUUUAAAAACUAUUUAUGGAAAAAAUGGCAUGUGUCAGAACUUCCUUCCAAAUUUUGCUAUGUAUUUCCAACCGCCUCAAGGCAGCAAGAAGAACUGCAGGAUCACUACCGCACACAGUCUACUCUCCAAACUGGAAUGUAUGGAAACCCUGGAUCUUGAUAUUGGGCCAGGGAUCCUAUUAUCACUUAUGUCACCUUUUAAAAAUGUUUAAACUUUUCCAAAUUUACUUAUUUAAAGGUUUUUCUUGUACAGAAGAAAAUACAAUGUUACUUGACCCACCUUUUUUUCUGACCUACCCCUACAAAAAGAUACCAGAACUAAACUGUAUGUCUAAAAGUUCCAAGGUAUUGUACAAAUGUUUUUAUACAACCUGCACAGAGGCUAACACUUCAUCCUGGCAAAAAAAAAAAAAAUCCUGAUUGUCAGUUAAAAGCAAGCUAGUAGAGAUAGCAUACUUUGUUUCACAAGUAAAAAGAAACUAUUUGUAAUAUAGUUUCAGUUUGUGACUGGAAAGCAACCAUUUGUCUUUAAGGAAAGUUCUUGUAUGAAUUACACAUUCCCCAGGUGAUAGUAAGCACAUGAUUUUCCCUUCCGCUGUUUUUUACAAUUAGAAUUACAUUGAUGUUAGCCAACACUUAUGAGUAUUUUCUUGCUUUUCAAAAGGUUAUUUACCUUUUAAAAAAUGCAAUAAUAUUUUAACAUAUUAAUUUUAUCCUUUACCUUCUCAGAAUUAUAUUGGGUUUUCUUUAAGAAUGCUACAACAUUUUUUGACAACUCGCUGUUUCUGUAGUGUUAAGUAUCCUAGUUUUCUGCUUGCAAAAAAAUACUGUAUAUAAGAGAGCUGAGUAUAUGAACUUCCUCAUAAUAGCUAGAAAUUAAACCACAACAAAAAAACCCUCCUGUGACCAGAAACAGAAAGUUAAUGGAUUGUUCCAGUUACAAUAAUUUUUUAAACAAAAAAAGGUACUAACUUUAAGUCAUUCAAAAUUCACAUGCAAUUUUGGUAAAAAUCUACCUAGAAAUAUAUGCUUCAUAAUCUACACACAUAACUGCUAAAUUUCCUUAUUUCUUGUAUUUGACAAUUUCUAAGUAAUUAUAAAUAUCUAUAAAUAUUUGUUUACAUUUAUUCCUUUAACUAAAAAAGAGGAAAAAAAUUGGUAUGAUUCUGUAAGUACUGCUGUCUUCCUCUGCUUUACAUGGAUAUUCUUAUAAACCACCUCAGCUUCACCCAAGAAUUAUAAAGUUCAUGGGGUGAAUGACAUGCUCCAGAAGGACACCCGACUUUCUUAACACUAAUGGUCCACAGCCCAGGCAUUAAUCCAAACCCUUUUCCUAUCUGUACCAUCUGUAGAAAAAGCAAGACAAGUAAAAACCUACUUUGGUCAAGAAAUGAGGCAAUGUUGGGACCAUUUUUUCAGGCUAGCAGCACAAUUUAAUAAUCAGUUGGGAAAAGCAGUAAUGAGGCACUAGUCUUCAAAAGCAUUGUUAUAACUUCAAUAAUUUAAACAGCUUUCAGGGAGAAGAAAAGAGAGAAGGCUGGGCAGUACGUUUGGAGAAAAGCAUUUCAAUAUACUAUGCAUCAACUACAAAGUCCUAUUUAAAACCAGAUGUUUUUAGUUUUAUUCUACUAUGAACUGAUUAGUGCCUUGGCCAAUACAAGACUAAACUGGACAACAAUUAUACUGCCAAAAAAUACCAUGCAUCUAUGCACUUGACUGUGUAGCUUAUAGACUAAUUUUCCCAUUUUAUAAUAGAAAAAUGCCAUCUGUUAUUCUAGAAAAUCUUAAUCCUUUAUAUUAAUGUACCAUUGAAUUUUUAAGUUAUUAAUAACCACAGUACAAUAAUAAAAUAUUUUAACUCAGCUAUGUAAACUAUAUCAGUAAGUUUUUCUUCUAAAUCCAGCAGUUCAUUUACAAAGAAGUGCACUAACAGAAAGGCAUUCUUCUACUUUUGCAGUUUAAAAUGGAGUGUCCUAUAUUUCACUUAGUACUCUCCCUGUUUGUGUUUAAAAAAAUUAAAAAGACCAUGAUUACUUCUUGACAUAGACCUUCACUCUCUAUUCACAGAAGAAAAAACCUGUGCACUACAGUAUACUUUAAAUGUUUUCCCUGUUACCUUGUUGGUCAAACAAAUUAACUCACAAAUAAAGCAAAGUACUCAGUUUACCAUCAAUAAAACAGACAAGAAAAAAAAUGGAUGUUUACCUUCUACCUUGUGACUGUGGAAGUCUCACAGAAAAGAUCUGUUAACAAGACUAUCUAAACAAAAACACUGGUAUGAAGUAAUCUUAAGACAAACCUCUAUUUCUAGUAUAAUCAGAUUACAGAUUUUAUUACUAUGAUGGGAGUCUAAAGAGUAGGCAAAAUUAUUUGAUAGGUCAGAGCUAUACACAGCUUGGAAUUUUUAUAAACACUCUUGUUGGUUUAGGCAACAGUUCAUCACAGAACUAAAUUUAAGAGACCUAUUUAUCUGUUUAUGAUAAAGACUUAUUCCUAUGAGCUUUUCAUGAUUCUUUCCUGGCACAUGAUGGAUAAAGUUCUGUAUUGACUAAUGCCUUUUGAGAGCAGCAGAAUGCUAAUUCAGCAUUUGCACAGAGCAGGCCCUGAACCUGGGUGCUGGUAAAACUGCACUUCCACUGCAAUAGCUCUGUUCUCUAAAGAAGCGUUAUGCUUAGUGUUGCUAAGUACCCAGAUCUAGCUUUCCAAAUGGAAGGGUUCACUUGAAGUUUCCUCAAGAAGCAGAAAUUCCUGCAUUAGCCACAAUUUGUUUAUAAAAUGUGUAAUCAGUCAACAACCACUAUCCAUUUAACCUAAUUACACUUUUUCUCAAUGUAAAUAGUUUCCAUUUUCAAGUCUUUCUGGUGACCUCACUCCUGAUUAAAUUUUUUAACUGUACACUGAUGUUAUAUGACAAUUAUAUACAAGUAUCUGGACAGUAACGUAAUUGUUUCAGAACCAACCUGCAUGUCUGAGGCCUACAUAAUGAAACUAUGUAAUGGUCAAAGCAAUAGCUUUGAAGAAUGCAAACCAAAUAUAUUCAAUUUUAUCUUAAAAUGAUAAAACAAAUUGACAGAAUAGAACUCAACAUCAAUAAGUGUGUUCAUAAUGGAAAUGCUUCCUGAGGUUUAAUAGGUGUGUUAGUACUUCUUAGUGUUCAGGAGUCAGUAAUGUUUUUCAAGACAGCA